CUUGCAACAUUUUAUAUGUGCAUACCCACUGGAAUUGAUGUUGGAUAUGUUUAUGGUGGACUGGUUGGGGAACAUCUUAACUGGCGCUAUGCAUUCUGGGGAGAGGCACUGUUAAUGUUACCAUUUGCUGUUUUUGGCUUUGUAGUGAAACCAUUGCAGUUGAAAGGUUUUUCUUGUGUUGAAUCAAAAAAAGAAUCAACACCCGUGGAGACAAUUUCUGUUG